CUAGGUUAUUUUUGCAGACCUGCCCACACCCUUCCCUAUUUGCAUCUCUUAUUCANNNNNNNNNNCGUCGGGCUUUCCCUGCACCUGGAGGCUCCCGGGGCAGGCGCCCUCCUGAGUCCUCCGCUUCCUGCCUGGGUGACCGUCCGCAAAGCAGACACACAUCAAAGACCCAUUUCCAGCUCACGUGGGGUGCAACAUACUGAUUCAACUUCCAGUGUGUUUCAGUGAAGCAAGCAGAACUUUGACAACAAAGAAAUCAGUAAAUAGAAGAGCAUCGAUUGAUCUAAUAUAUAAGUAAUGGUGGAAAUCUAACCUGGCAGUGUGCGGAAAGGAGCAUAUACUGUGACCAAGCGUUUUUUUCCAGUGGAGCAGGACUAGCCCAAUAUCAGACCUACUGAUGUAAACCACCGUUUAAUAGAACAAAAAGGAAGAACACGAUCAUCUCCACAGAUGCUGACAAAACACUGGAUGGAUUCAACGUUCAUUCUCUUUUUAAAAUGCCCCCAGUGAAACAGUGAUUGAUAAACACGUCCUUAAUGGCACGACGGUGUGUCCCAACCUGAAAGCCACGCGGUGCCACUGCCUCCCCGGGGGGUUGAGGCCCCGGAGCUGACUUGGUGUCAGUGUCAGAACCACACGAAACCCCUAGGGACGCAGCUGAA
rnacentral:lncRNA from 12 species